GAUGAACGCUGGCGGCGUGCCUAAUACACGCAAGUCGAGCGAACAGACGAGGAGCUUGCUCCUCUGACGUUAGCGGCGGACGGGUGAGUAACACGUGGAUACCCUCCCUAUAAGACUGGGAUAACUUCGGGAAACCGGAGCUAAUACCGGAUAAUAUAUUGAACCGCAUGGUUCAAUAGUGAAAGACGGUUUUGCUGUCACUUAUAGAUGGAUCCGCGCCGCAUUAGCUAGUUGGUAAGGUAACGGCUUACCAAGGCAACGGUGCGUAGCCGACCUGAGAGGGUGAUCGGCCACACUGGAACUGAGACACGGUCCAGACGCCUACGGGAGGCAGCAGUAGGGAAUCUACCGCAAUGGGCGAAAGCCGGACGGAGCAACGCCGCGUGAGUGAUGAAGGUCUUCGGAUCGUAAAACUCUGUUAUUAGGGAAGAACAAAUGUGUAAGUAACUAUGCACGUCUUGACGGUACCUAAUCAGAAAGCCACGGCUAACUACGUG
rnacentral:rRNA from 1 species